AUUGAACGCUAGCGGCAGGCCUAACACAUGCAAGUCGAGCGGAGCGGCGGACGGGUGAGUAAUGCCUAGGAAUCUGCCUGGUAGUGGGGGAUAACGUCCGGAAACGGGCGCUAAUACCGCCUACUAUCCGAUGCGCCUAGGGCGGAUUAGCUAGUUGGUGGGGUAAAGCCCUACCAAGCCGACGAUCCGUAACGGGUCUGAGAGGAUGAUCAGUAACACUGGAACUGUGACACGGUCCAGCCUCCUACGGGAGGCAGCAGUGGGAAAUAUUGGACAAGUGGCGAAAGCCUGAUCCAGCGAUGCCGGGUGGGUGAAGAAGGUCUUCGGAUUGUAAAGCACUUUAAGUUGGGAGGCGUGACCAACAGAAUAAGCACCGGCUAACUUCGUGCCAGCAGCGGCGGUAAUAC
rnacentral:rRNA from 1 species